UCGACGGAGCCUCUACCAUUCCAACCCAUGGGCUAGUAUGCUCAGUCGGGGGAGAGCUCUAACAUACCAGCUCAAUUCAACUUUGCAUCUUCAAACCAGGUACAACUCAUCCUAAGAAUGCCUUUCUCCCUCCCCUCAAUUAUCCUGAAUCUCUAGGAGAACAUAGAUUUAUAAGAAGUAAAGGACGCCCUAGAGUUAAUGUAAGAGACGAGAAUGGAGAUUUGCGUCCUAAAUAAAAUAAAAGUGCUAGUGUUCAAGGAGCGAUUCAUACAAAAAUCCAUACUUAUUUGUCCAC
rnacentral:lncRNA from 1 species